rnacentral:rRNA from 1 species
GACAGAGGAUGCAAGCGUUAUCCGGAAUGAUUGGGCGUAAAGCGUCUGUAGGUGGCUUUUUAAGUCCGCCGUCAAAUCCCAGGCUCAACCCUGGACAGGCGGUGGAAACUACCAAGCUGGAGUACGGUAGGGGCAGAGGGAAUUUCCGGUGGAGCGGUAAAGAAGUCGUGAGAGAGUAGAAGGAAACACCAACGACGGCAAGAAG